rnacentral:tRNA from 1 species
GUUCCCAUCGUCUAGUGGUUAGGACUCUGCCUUCUCAAGGCAGUAACCGGAGUUCAAUUCUCCGUGGGAAUACCA